UACAGAGGGGGGCAAGCGUUGUUCGGAAUUACUGGGCGUAAAGGGCGCGUAGGCGGCCCGCUAAGUCGAACGUGAAACUCCCCGAGCUCAACUCGGGAACUGCGUCCGAUACUGGCGGGCUUGAAUCCGGGAGAGGGAUGCGGAAUUCCAGGUGUAGCGGUGAAAUGCGUAGAUAUCUGGAGGAACACCGGUGGCGAAGGCGGCAUCCUGGACCGGCAUUGACGCUGAGGCGCGAAAGCGUGGGGAGCAAACAGG
rnacentral:rRNA from 1 species